AACGUAGGACACAAGCGUUAUCCGGAGUUACUGGGCGUAAAGAGCGCGCAGGCGGUCGUUCAAGUCGCGUGUGAAAGCCCCCGGCUCAACUGGGGAGGGUCACGCGAUACUGAUCGACUCGAAGGCAGGAGAGGGAUGCGGAAUUCCAGGUGUAGCGGUGAAAUGCGUAGAUAUCUGGAGGAACACCGGUGGCGAAGGCGGCAUCCUGGACCAUGACUGACGCUGAGGAGCGAAAGCCAGGGGAGCAAAGCGGG
rnacentral:rRNA from 1 species